rnacentral:rRNA from 1 species
CAGCCGCCGCGGUAAUACGAAGGGUGCAAGCGUUAAUCGGAAUUACUGGGCGUAAAGCGUGCGUAGGCGGUGAGUUAAGUCUGCUGUGAAAUCCCCGGGCUCAACCUGGGAAUGGCAGUGGAUACUGGCUCGCUAGAGUGUGUCAGAGGAUGGUGGAAUUCCCGGUGUAGCGGUGAAAUGCGUAGAGAUCGGGGGGAACAUCAGUGGCGAAGGCGGCCAUCUGGGACAACACUGACGCUGAGGCACGAAAGCGUGGGGAGCAAACAGGAUUAGAUACCCCUGUAGUCCCUGUCUCUUAUAC